GCUUUCUGCUGUAAACAUCCCCUUGUUUAUUCACCUGAGCUGCAGCUUCUUCAUAGCCGGUUGUGCCAUUUAUCUGCCCUGCAAAGAAGAGGCGUUGAAUGAGACAAGACUCCAGGGAGGCACUCAGCUGACGCGGAUCCAGAAAGAUGGCAGAGACCGAAUGUCAGCAGAGGCCUCGGACUGAAAAUGGAGCAGAGCCCAGACUCAUUACUGCUUCCCGAUACUAUCUCCCUAGCCAUGGCAACAGGUUUACAGAAAGUCUUCAGGAAUCAAGGGACACAACAGACAAAGGAAAACUUCCUAGCAGCUAUGCAUCAGAAGUUCAAUUAAGAUUCUACAGAACAACCAAUACACACAUCUUAUUGACAGAUUGGUUUCCUCUAGUAAAAUGGUUCUCAACCUGUGGGUCCCCAGAUGUUUUGGCCUUCAACUCCCAGAAAUCCUAACAGCUGGUAAACUGGCUGGUAUUUUUGGGAGUUGAAGAUUGCGAGAGACAAUUUUGCUAUUUUUUUUCUCCUUAGCAAGAAAAAAUAUUAUUGAAUAAUAAGAAAAUAUUACCCAAGAAGAUGGAAUGGAAGCAAUUUUUUUUUUUGCUUUUUGUUUUUUUGUGUGUGGGUAUAUUUUGGUGGAUUGUAGACUUUUACCUUUCUCUCUUUUCCCUACUUUUCUAUACCUUGGUUGUUCUCACUCUUUCGAUGUAGUAUAAAAAAUUUAAUUAAAUUCUUUUUAAAAAAAGAAAGAACCACUGCCCUAGGGGCAUGUAACUGUGUUUGCAGAUGCUUUCUGGCACAUACAGGGUGUUUCAAAAUUGACCCAAUUUCAAAGUAGUAUAUUUCAAGAUGGCAGCAUGUUGCAAUUACACAAAAAUGGGUUAUCGAGUUUAACUAACAAUUUUGAGCUAGAAACAAAUCUAAAAAAAUGCAAAUUGAGAAUAUCUCAUUAGGCCUUAUGGUGCGGGAUCACUAUCUUGCAAACGACUGAGGCUAGAGGCUGUUUGUGCUUGUGGAAAUCAUUUGAAACUCUAUGCCCCACCUUUUUAAGUAGUAAGAGGUUCAUUCAUGGGCAGUUCAUGGUUGCAGAGAUAUAGCAAUAUCAAAUUGGAUUUAUAUUUUUAAAUACCCUGUAAUUUGCCACAAUAGCGUUUUUGCUAUCUUUCCAUCCCCCUUCUUCCUUUAUUGUAUCAAUAUUCAUAAGCUUCUUGGAGAUCCAACUUACUUUUAAAAAAUUACUCUAUUAAGAGUCAUGUAUUUUAACAGCACUUCAUGUAUGACAAAUAUAAAAGAGGCUUACCGGG